rnacentral:lncRNA from 1 species
UGCAAAUAUGAUAAUUUUGGUCACAAAGCCAGUCUUGUCUAAAAUGGAAUUUGGAACCUUAGUGCGUCACAAUUAGUAAAUUAAGGUUGCGUUUGGUUACAAUUAUGUCAACAAAUCGCUCCUUCACGGGCAAAUCGCCCCCUCCGCCCCACUUCACGUCCCUAAAUGGGACGUGAUCACGGCCGUUUGAGAUCACGGCCAUUUGAAACUGAAAAGCCCUAUACGGAUUGAUAAUGCAGUGCAUGCUUCCAGAAGGAUGCAUAUCCAAGAACUAUGGCAUGCCCUGCCGAAGGAACCUAUCACGUGGAAUAGGUGGUUGGAGUUUGUUGGUCCCCAGUGGUGGUGAAUAUACCAGUAGUUAGACCAUAGACUGCUGGUUAUGUAUAUUGAUAAUCAUUAUCACUAACAUCGCUAGCUAGCUGACUGUUAGCCUACCUCAAUAAAACUCGGAUUUGGCUUGGAAACACGAUAACAUUUCAAAAGAAGGCAAAUAAUUAGUAGGAAAACCUUUUGUCAUGAUUGUGCUAUGGUGGUACUAGCUAACUCAUGUCUGACUACAACAGUGUACUACCUAGCAGCAACAAACUCAAACCAACCCAGGGCCAUAGCAAAACAUGUCACAGUUGGUUGCAUAGUGUAACGGCGUCACCGGCCUGAAUCUAAUCUAAUCUGGAACAAGUCAGUCUACAUCUGUAAAGCAUAGAAUUAGUUUCCAAGCGAGAUUACGUUAUUUCUCGAGCUAUGUUUAUAAUUGAGGGAUGAUGACAAUCAUCAACCCUGUUUUUCUAUUAGACAAAGUGCACAGUUGGGUGCCAGACCGAUCUCCUGGUCAUGAACAGAUGCCAGAGGAAGCAAAGCUUGUCAGGCAAGACCUCAAAAUAAAAGUUUGUCAUGCGACACAAGUACCCUUAACUCCUAUGAAAGUCUCCCUCGACUUCUAUUAAAAGGACACGCAAUCAUGAGGCCUCUGAUAGUGACCCGAGUUAAUGCCCUGAUUACACAGAUGGCUUCAUCAACAAUGAAAGGCCCUCCCAGUCAACACCACCUUGUAAGAUUGCCUACUGCAGGGCCUCCCGAGUGGCGCAGCGGUCUAAGGCACUGCAUCACAGUGCUAGAGGCGUCACUACAGAUCCGGGUUCGAUCCCAGGCUGUGUUGCUGCCGUCUGUGACCGGGAGACCCGGUGUUUCCUCCGACACAUUGGUGUGGCUGGUUUCCGGGUUAAGCAGGCAGUGUGUCAAGAAGCAGUGCGGCUUGUCAGGGUCGUGUUUCGGAGGACGCAUGGCUCUCGACCUUCACCUCUCCUGUGUCCAUACGGGAGUUGCAGCGAUGGGACAAGGCUGUAACAAUUGGAUUUCACGAAAAAUUGUUUAAAAAAUGUAAUAAUAAAAGACUGUCUGC